GCCAGGGAAUCAGGGUUUUGUGAUGGGAUGGGGGUGGAGGUGGAGUGAGAAGACCACUCUGGGCUUGAAACUGAGAAAGAGAGAAACAUAUUUAAUGAUAUGUAUCUCCCGUGCCUCAUCUGGAACAAAGAAUAUGUGCAAGAAUAUGGGGGAAAUGAGAGUGUAGUUGGGCUCUUACCGGACAGGCUGGUAGAUCUGUAUGAUCUAUUGUAAUUGUAUGAUACACAUGUGUGACGGCCACAGCCUCUGCCCUGGCCGUCCUGGUGUCUGUGUCCUCAUGAGCUUCCCUCCCCGCUCCCCCUCCAUUAAAUAGGGCUGACUGUGUAGCUUGGGAGAUGUUGUGGAAAUGUCAAAGCGUGACUUCUGAAGUUAGGCAUAAAGGACAUUGUGGCUUCUAUCCACCUUGCACCUUGCUCUCCCUCGGGUCACUUGCCCUGGGACCAAGCCAGCUGCUGUGUCAUAAUGCCAUUGUCACCUUCGCAGCUUUACAAGGAGAUCCAUGUGGCAAGAAACUGAGACCUCCUGCUAACAACCAAAACCGAUUGGCCAGGGAUGUGAGGGAGCCCCCUUGAGAGUGAACCUUCCAACCCCACUCCAGCCUUCAGAUGAUGCAGCCGUGGCCGACGGCCUGAGUGCAGCCUUGUGGAAAACCCUGAGCCGGAACCAUCCAGUUAAGUGGCUCCUGAAAGCCUGACCCACAGACACUGUGAGAGACAAUAAAUGCUCACGGCUGCUUUAAGCCACUAUGUUUGGGAGGUAAUUUUUGGCAAGCAGCAAUAGAUAACGAAUAUGUACCUCGUAUAUUGGGCACAUCAUUACUUAGUAGUUCAGAUAUUGAAAGUCAGGUGUCACAUAACAGCAUGUUUUAUACUCUCCCCCCCCCCGAUGUAGGUUGUGAUGCCUUGAAAAAAAUCUAGCUUUUACUCUCUGAUUUAAAGGCACAGCGUCAUGGGGUACUUCCUUUCUCGCCCCCAAAUGCAGUCAUCUACAGCGAAUCUUAGGAAUACCAAGACCGGUUCCUUACAUGAAAGAUCUAUUUCAAACUUCUUGGCAUUUAAAAUGUUAAUCUUUCUAGAGCCGAAGGUUAAACUAGUCUUUAGAUUUUUCAGAGAUACUACCGAUUCACUCUGGCUACCGGACUCUUUAAUUUCAAACAGAGCAUCGUUAAGACUCCGUUGAAGCAGGACUGACUCAAAAUCAGGAAACAACUCUUAGCUUUCACAAAAACCAUUCAGAGCAGCUCCCUGGGCUCAUCUCUCCUGCUGUCCCCGUCGGAAAAUCCAUACCCACAACCUUUCCCAGCCUUUCGUCUGCCUCUGGAGAAUCAGGGAAGCCAAUGGGAGCAUUGUUCGCUUGACAACCGUGCUGUCCUUCAGGGUACAGACGCGCGGUGGGCGUCAUUGACCACAGGAGCGUAUGAGAAAGGAAGCCUUAGGUAUUGUGCCUCAUGCCACAGGUUCUGGUGGCCCCUCCCUCGGGAGGCUUGGCUGGGGAUCACUUCUGUUUUGCGGUACUGUGUGUAACCUUGGCAUGCAAUCAGCAGAGAAAAUAUUCAUUAUUGCCUGACUGUCUGCCGAAGACAAUUUCAAUUAUUCUGGCAUUUCAAUGGAUGAAGAAGCCCUUUAGGCUGGCCCCGGAGAUUAGACUUACAGGCUCCGUAAAUUAGGAAAGUUACAAUCAGUAUAUUAUCUGGCAGGCAGCUGUGGGAUACGGCACAGCAGGCAAAGAGAGACAAAUUGCUAUAUUCCGGUUGCGGUUUUGAUAUAUCAAUUUACAAGUUUAACAUACACAUUUGGGAAAGAAUGAUUUUGCAUUUCUUAAAUCACUUUUAACUGCCUGCACUCGAAGUUUCUGAACCUGCAACUUGAAUAGUCGGCUUGCCUUGCUGACGUUUUGUUUUAAAGCCCAAUUUCAGCUCGGAAAAAAAUAUUGCUGAGGACAGAGCUUGGGAAUUAAUCUUUCCUAAAGUUAUUCAAAUAAUAUAAUAUAUGGCAGUUAAGCAGAAUAUUCCAUUUGCAGAAAUGUGAAUGAUGUCCCAUAUAAAGGCUUUUUCUUUAA